CGGAGGCAGCAGUGAGGAAUAUUGAGCAAUGGGCGCAAGCCUGACUCAGCAACGCCGCGUGGAUGACGAAGGCCUUCGGGUUGUAAAAUCCUUUUCUGGGGGGAGAUAAUGACGGUACCCCAGGAAUAAGUUCCGGCUAACUACGUGCCAGCAGCCGCGGUAAAACGUAGGGGACGAGCGUUAUCCGGAUUUACUGGGCGUAAAGCGCAUGUAGGUGGCUUGGCAAGUUGGACGUGAAAGCUCCCGGCUUAACUGGGAGAGGUCGUUCAAAACUGCCAAACUUGAGGUUGGAAGAGGAGAGCGGAAUUCCCGGUGUAGUGGUGGAAUGCGUAGAUAUCGGGAGGAACACCAGUGGCGAAAGCGGCUCUCUGGUUCAAUACUGACACUGAGAUGCGAAAGCGUGGGGAGCGAACGGGCUUAGAUACCCCGGUAGU
rnacentral:rRNA from 1 species